rnacentral:rRNA from 1 species
AUACGUAGGUGACAAGCGUUACCCGGAUUUACUGGGCGUAAAGGGCGUGUAGGCGGUCUUGCAAGUCAGAAGUGAAAUUCCUGAGCUCAACUCGGGCGCUGCUUCUGAAACUGCAGGACUUGAGUGCUGGAGGGGAUAGCGGAAUUCCUAGUGGAGCGGUAAAAUGCGCAGAUAUUAGGAAGAACACCGGUGGCGAAGGCGGCUAACUGGACAGUAACUGACGCUGAGGCGCGAAAGCGUGGGGAGCAAACAGGAUUAGAUACCCUGGUAGUCCACGCUGUAAACGAUGAAUACUAGGUGUAGGGGGUAUCGACUCCCUCUGUGCCGCAGUUAACACAAUAAGUAUUCCGCCUGGGGAGUACGGCCGCAAGGUUGAAACUCAAAUGAAUUGACGGGG